rnacentral:rRNA from 1 species
CAGCAGCCACGGGAAUACGUAGGGUCCGAGCGUUGUCCGGAAUUAUUGGGCGUAAAGGGCUCGUAGGCGGUUUGUUGCGUCGGGAGUGAAAACCCAGGGCUUAACUUUGGGCUUGCUUUCGAUACGGGCAGACUUGAGGCAUUGAGGGGAGAACGGAAUUCCUGGUGUAGCGGUGAAAUGCGCAGAUAUCAGGAGGAACACCGGUGGCGAAGGCGGUUCUCUGGCAAUGUUCUGACGCUGAGGAGCGAAAGUGUGGGGAGCGAACAGGAUUAGAUACCCCUGUAGUCCCUGUCUCUUAUAC